rnacentral:rRNA from 1 species
GCGGCCGAUUAGCUAGUUGGUGGGGUAAGAGCCUACCAAGGCAGCGAUCGGUAGCUGGUCUGAGAGGAUGAGCAGCCACACUGGGACUGAGACACGGCCCAGACUCCUACGGGAGGCAGCAGUGGGGAAUUUUCCGCAAUGGGCGAAAGCCUGACGGAGCAAUACCGCGUGAGGGAGGAAGGCUUUUGGGUUGUAAACCUCUUUUGUUAAGGAAGAAUCAAGUGACGGUACUUAACGAAUCAGCAUCGGCUAACUCCGUGCCAGCAGCCGCGGUAAUACGGAGGAUGCAAGCGUUAUCCGGAAUCAUUGGGCGUAAAGCGUCCGCAGGUGGUUCAUCAAGUCUGCUGUUAAAGACAGAAGCUCAACUUCUGAAAGGCGGUGGAAACUGGAGAACUAGAGUACGGUAGGGGUCGAGGGAAUUCCCAGUGUAGCGGUGAAAUGCGUAGAGAUUGGGAAGAACACCAGUGGCGAAGGCGCUCGACUGGGCCGUAACUGACACUCAGGGACGAAAGCUAGGGUAGCGAAAGGGAUUAGAUACCCCUGUAGUCCUAGCGGUAAACGAUGAACACUAGGCGUUGCUUGUAUCGACCCGAGCAGUGCCGUAGCCAACGCGUUAAGUGUUCCGCCUGGGGAGUACGCACGCAAGUGUGAAACUCAAAGGAAUUGACGGGGGCCCGCACAAGCGGUGGAGUAUGUGGUUUAAUUCGAUGCAACGCGAAGAACCUUACCAGGACUUGACAUCCCAAGAACCCAGCGUAAUGGCUGGGGUGCCUUAGGGAACUUGGAGACAGGUGGUGCAUGGCUGUCGUCAGCUCGUGUCGUGAGAUGUUGGGUUAAGUCCCGCAACGAGCGCAACCCUCGUUCUUAGUUGCCAGCAUUAAGUUGGGCACUUUAGGAAGACUGCCGGUGACAAACCGGAGGAAGGUGGGGAUGACGUCAAGUCAGCAUGCCCCUUACGUUCUGGGCUACACACGUACUACAAUGGUUGGGACAAAGGGCAGCGAACUCGCGAGAGUAAGCGAAUCUCAGCAAACCCAGCCUCAGUUCAGAUUGCAGGCUGCAACUCGCCUGCAUGAAGGAGGAAUCGCUAGUAAUCGCAGGUCAGCAUACGGCGGUGAAUCCG